rnacentral:tRNA from 2 species
GGCCCCAUAGUGAAGCGGUUAACACACAAGCCUUUCACGCUUGCGACACGGGUUCGAAUCCCGUUGGGGUCACCA